ACUCCUACGGGAGGCAGCAGUGGGGAAUAUUGGACAAUGGGCGCAAGCCUGAUCCAGCAAUGCCGCGUGUGUGAAGAAGGCCUGCGGGUUGUAAAGCACUUUUGUUCGGGAAGAAAACGGAUCGGUUAAUACCCGGUUCGGAUGACGGUACCGAAAGAAUAAGCACCGGCUAACUUCGUGCCAGCAGCCGCGGUAAU
rnacentral:rRNA from 1 species